UACGUAGGGGGCGAGCGUUGUCCGGAUUUAUUGGGCGUAAAGAGCUCGUAGGCGGCUUGACAAGUCGGGUGUGAAACCUCCAGGCUCAACCUGGAGAUGCCAUUCGAUACUGUCAUGGCUAGAGUCCGGUAGGGGACCAUGGAAUUCCUGGUGUAGCGGUGAAAUGCGCAGAUAUCAGGAGGAACACCAAUGGCGAAGGCAGCACUCUGGGACGUGACUGACGCUGAGACGCGAAAGCGUGGGGAGCAAACAGG
rnacentral:rRNA from 1 species